AUGGGAUGUGCUGCUUUUUCUUCAGUCUUGAUGGGAUACUGGAUCACAGUUGCCUACAAAUGUGACUGGAUGCUUAAAUACGGAACAAAUCUUCUUCAAGCUGUGGGCCAGUUCAAUGGUCUCAGAAUGAGAGGUGGAACAGGAGGCGGUAAUAAUAGGCCUAUCUCUGUGCCUCGGCUGCUACCGACGUCGGUGAUCGGAACAGAGCAAUCCAGUUUUGAGAUUUCAGUGAAGACAUCGGCGGCGGCGAUAGGCGUGCCGGUGAAGUCUCUGCUCGACCACCCUAACCCUACUCCGGGCAUCGACAAGCAAUUCCUGGCGGCGCCGAUCAAGUCCGCAACCGACAAAUUCGCACUCCUGCCGGAGCUCCUGAAGGUCAGAGGCGUCGUCAGAGAGCACCUGGACUCCUUCAACUACUUCGUCAACACCGGAAUCAACCGAAUCGUCCGCGCCAAUGACCGCAUUGUCUCCGAGCUCGAUCCCAGAAUCUACAUCAAGUUCCUUAACGUCGAGAUCGGCGAGGCCUCCGUCACUAGAGACGGCGUCACCGAUAGUAUUGCUCCACAUACUUGCAGAUUAUCCGACAUGACGUAUUCGGCUCCGGUGAAGGUUACGGUGGAGUAUGUGGAAGGGGCGCAUGAUCUGACGCCGAGAAGGAAAGAAGGUGUCAGGAUUUGCACAAUGCCGAUUAUGCUGAGGAGUUGCAAGUGUCAUUUGGCAGGGAAGAGCGAAUUGGAGCUUGCGAGGCUCGGGGAGUGUCCGCUGGAUUCUGGAGGCUAUUUUGUGAUCAAAGGGAGUGAGAGGGUGCUACUGAUUCAGGAGCAGCUUUCGAAGAACAGGAUUAUUAUUGAUAAGGAUAAGAAGGGGAAUGUGACUGCUUCUGUGACUAGUAGUACUGAGAAAAUGAAGAGCAAGACUAUGAUUGAGUUUGAUAAGAAGAAGAAGACCAUUUCGUUGCUGCUCAAUGCGUUUGAUAAGAAGGUGCCGAUUAUGGUGGUUAUGAAGGCGAUGGGGAUGCAGAGUGAUCAGGAAGUAGUGCAGAUGCUUGGGAGGGAUCCGAGAUAUGGUGCAUUGUUGUUGCCGUCUGUUGAGGAAUGUGCAAAGGUGGAGAUAUACAACAAGGAGCAGGCGUUGGUGUAUUUGGAAGGAAAGCUGACGAAGAAGCGCGUGAAGGAUGAUACUCAUGGUAGAGUCAUCUUGGUUCUUGCUGAUGUGCUUCUUUCUAAUGUUGCGGUGAGGCGGGGGAAUUUUCAUCCGAAAUGCAUGUAUGUUGGUGUCAUGUUGAGACGCAUGAUGGAUGCAGUUUUGAACAAGGGUGCAGUUGAUGACACGGAUUAUGUUGGCAACAAGAGGUUUGAGUUAUCUGGCCAAUUGAUUUCCCUCCUGUUUGAGGGUCGGUUCAAGACAAUGAUCGAAGCAGCUAGGAAAGAAUUAGACAAUAACAUGUUACCUAAGGCAAAGCCUGGUAGGAGUUUGGCAUUGCUCUCUCUUAUACAGAAAUCACGUAUAUCAGAAGGAAUUGAAAGAGCCCUGUCUACCGGAAAUUUUGGACCGGUUCAGGAUGAAAAAGUCCGGGGUGACUCAGGUGCUAACUAGAUUAUCAUUUAUAGGAGCUCUGGGCUCAAUGACCAAAACAAAGCCGCAAGUUGAGAAGUCGUUGAAAGUAAGUGGAGCUAGAGCCUUGCAACCUAGUCAAUGGGGAAUGCUUUGUCCUUGUGACACUCCAGAAGGUCAAGAUAUUGGACUGGUGAAGAACUUGGCCCUAAUGGCUCAUGUCACAACUGAUGAAGAGGAUGGUCCAUUGAUUUCUCUGUGCUACUCUUUGGGUGUUGAAGACUUCGAACAACUAUCAGCAGAGGAGCUUCACUCGCAGCAUUCUUUUCUGGUUUUUUUUAAUGGAAGUAUCCUCGGAGUGCAUAGAAAGCCACAACGGUUUGCCAAUGGAAUGAGAAAGUUUCGUAGAGCUGGAAAAAUUGGGCAGUUUGUGAGUGUCUUUGUCAAUGAGAAGCAGAGUUGUGUUCAAAUUGCUUCUGAUGGUGGUCGAGUUUGUCGUCCAUUGAUUAUUGCUGACAAGGGCAUCUCGAGGGUGAAAGGACAUCACAUGGAGGAGUUGAAGGCUGGCUACCGUACUUUCAACGAUUUUUUGAAUGACGGUUUGAUCGAGUAUCUUGAUGUCAAUGAGCAGAACAAUGCUUUGAUUGCUCUGUAUGAAAACCAAGCAACAGCAGAAACAACCCAUAUUGAAAUAGAGCCUUUAGGCAUCUUGGGUGUUAUUGCUGGACUUAUUCCGUAUCCUCAUCAUAAUCAGUCACCCAGAAAUACUUACCAGUGUGCUAUGGGAAAACAAGCAAUGGGGAAUAUUGCCUAUAACCAACUGCGUCGGAUGGACACGCUUCUCUACCUACUUGUGUAUCCUCAAAGGCCAUUAUUGACUACCAAGACAAUUGAGCUGGUGGGGUAUGAUAAACUUGGAGCUGGGCAGAAUGCAACUGUGGCUGUGAUGAGUUACAGUGGCUACGACAUAGAGGACGCAAUAGUGAUGAACAAGUCAUCUCUGGAUCGUGGGUUUGGUUGUUCUAUAUAUAUGAAAAGGUUCAGCGAUGGCAUCAAAACUUAUAAAACUCGAGGGACUGAAGUCGUCAAACAAGACAUAGUAGCCUGCCCUGCAGAUAGAAAUGGAAGAGGCAUGCGGGUGCUUGAUGAUGAUGGAAUUGCUUUACCUGGAGAGAUUAUUGCACCAGAUGACAUCCUUCUGAACAAACAGGUCCCAAGUACAAAAACGGCAGGACAUAGGCCUGCACCCUUGAAAUACAAAGGACCUCAAGGGGAGUCUUACGUGCUGGAUAAAGUCUCGAUGUAUCCUGAUACAUAUAAUAAUUUGCAGUGCAAAUUCUUAGUUCGCCAUACUCGUAGACCAGAGGUUGGUGACAAAUUCAGUAGCAGACAUGGCCAGAAAGGUGUCUGUGGUACCAUUGUCCAACAGGAAGAUCUCCCAUUUUCUGAACGUGGCAUUUGCCCUGACCUAAUUAUGAACCCUCAUGGAUUUCCAAGUCGGAUGACUGUAGGGAAGAUGAUAGAGCUUCUUGGGAGUAAAGCAGGAGUUUCAUGUGGCAGGUUUCACUAUGGUAGUGCCUUCGGUGAACUAAGUGGUCAUGCAGACAAGGUUGAAACCAUUACUGAAACUCUUGUGAAUAUGGGAUUCAGCUAUGAUGGCAAGGACUUUCUUUACUCAGGACUCACAGGUAGCCCAUUACAAGCAUAUAUUUUCAUGUUUACUACCAGAGGUUGAAACAUAUGGUCAUAGACAAAAUGCAUGCACGAGGUAGUGGUCCUAAAGUUCACCUAACUAGGCAACCUACAGAGGGAAAGGCUCGUAAUGGAGGACUGCGAAUAGGUGAAAUGGAGCGUGACUGUCUGGUUGCUUAUGGUGCAAGUAUGUUGGCUUAUGAGCGCCUAAUGCUCGCUAGUGAUCCUUAUGAUAUUCAUGUCUGCAGAGAGUGUGGUUUGCUCGGCUAUUAUGACCAUAAGCGGAAAUCUGCAAUAUGCACCAAAUGUGGAAAUGGGGAUGUUAUGGCUACCAUGAAGCUUCCAUAUGCUUGCAAGCUCUUGAUCCAGGAACUCCAGUCCAUGAAUAUUGUUCCUCGCUUGAAAUUGACAGAUGCAUGAGAAAUGAUAGUAGUCAACUGGAUAGAUUUUAUAGUUUGCUCCUUUGCUUGAUGCAUUAACUUG